rnacentral:rRNA from 1 species
CUUUUGCACCCGACUAUAACCACGUGCAGAGUCCACCUUAAGGGUGGGCGACGUCACCUAUCUGCUGGGAUCCACUUCCGUGGGGACCAGCAGCCAGAUAUGACUCUGUUAUACUUGGUCUACAGAUUAGGCGGUGGCGGUCAGCAUCAUGUCUCUCAAUAGGCAAGUUCUGAUCAAGAUAUAAUCGGUCGCUAUUGUUGGUGUAAAUAGUUGAGAAACGUUCCGUAGGUGAACCUGCGGAAGGAUCAUUAUUGAGUUAGGGUCCUCUGGGCCCCAUCUCCAACCCUUGUCUAUAUUACCAUGUUGCUUUGGCGGGCCCGUCUUUAACCGGACCGCCGGGGACGCGUUCCCUGGCCUGUGCCCGUCAGUAGCCCGUACAAACUCUUUGAACAGUGAUGUCUAAGUACAAAUAUAAUAAUUAAAACUUUCAACAACGGUCUCUUGGUUCUGGCAUCGAUGAAGAACGCAGCGAAAUGCGAUAAGUAAUGCGAAUUGCAGAAUUCCGUGAGUCAUCGAAUCUUUGAACGCACAUUGCGCCCUUUGGUAUUCCGAAGGGCAUGCCUGUUCGAGCGUCAUUAUCAACCCUCAAGCCCGGCUUGCUGUUGGGUCUUACCGCUAGCGAUGACGGCGGACCCCAAAGAUAAUGGCAGAGUUCCGUGGACCCUGGAUGCAGCGAGCUCCUCAGCACGCGUCUCGGCGGUUCCCGGGCUCGGUCUUAACCAAUGUAUUUGUCAGGUUGACCUCGGAUCAGGUAGGGAUACCCGCUGAACUUAAGCAUAUCAAUAAGCGGAGGAAAAGAAACCAACAGGGAUUGCCUCAGUAACGGCGAGUGAAGCGGCAACAGCUCAAAUUUGAAAUCUGGCUCCUUUGGGGGUCCGAGUUGUAAUUUGUAGAGGAUGCUUCGGGCAAGGCGGUGGUCUAAUUUGCUUGGAACAGCAAGUCAUAGAGGGUGAGAAUCCCGUCUAGGAUCGCCAGCCGCGUCCAUGUGAAGUUCCUUCGACGAGUCGAGUUGUUUGGGAAUGCAGCUCUAAAUGGGUGGUAAAUUUCAUCUAAAGCUAAAUAUUGGCCAGAGACCGAUAGCGCACAAGUAGAGUGAUCGAAAGAUGAAAAGCACUUUGAAAAGAGAGUUAAACAGUAUGUGAAAUUGUUGAAAGGGAAGCGCUUGCAACCAGACUUGCGUGUAACGGUUCCCCCGGUCUUCUGGCCGGGCUACUCCGUUAUCUCCAGGCCAGCAUCGGUUUGGGUGGUCGGUAAAAGACCGCGGGAAUGUAUCUACCUUCGGGUCGACUUAUAGCCCGGGGUGUAAUGCGGCCCACCCAGACCGAGGAACGCGCUC